GUUUUGCACUGAUUGCAAAAAUAAAGUCCUCCGAGCAUACAAUAUCCUUAUUGGUGAACUUGACUGCAGCAAAGAAAAGGGCUACUGUGCUGCACUUUAUGAAGGCUUGCGGUGCUGUCCACAUGAACGACACAUACAUGUUUGCUGUGAAACAGACUUCAUUGCACAUCUUUUGGGUCGUGCUGAGCCAGAGUUCGCAGGAGGGUAUGAGUAUGUAAUUUGCUAGAAUGGGCUAUCUAGCGCUUUGCUUCAUUUUAUUACUGAAAGUUUAUUUUCAUCACCUUCUGCCUCAGUACAUAUGAUAUAUGUAUAAAUUAAAGUAUGCCUGUAAAGAUUUUGCUUCUCUUUAAAGUAUGCAUUUCUUAAUUGACUGAAAAUAGGGAAAAACUGUUCUCUGGUGUUUGGUUCAGUCCUCUGCUAGUUCUUGCUUGAAGGGAGGCAGGCUUUUUUGGCUUUCAUUGUUAACAGACUAUCAUUUUCAUUUGAAAAUGAUUAGAAGGGAUUUUUCUCCCUCUAUCCAUGCAUUAUCGUGUGUAAAUUUUAUUCACAAUAAUGGUUUUUGCAUAAGUCAGAUCUUUGCAGUAGGGGAUUAAGAAAUGCCUUAUUGAAUGUAAUUCAUGAACUGUGUAUAUUAUAUUAUUAUUACUGCAUAGAAACCUAAAGUAUUAUCUCUGGCUUUGUUGUAAAAAUAAAAUCAGAUGAUGAUGUUAAUAGAAUAAAUCAAAUUCAUUUCCUUUUGUAUUUAGGGUAUCAACCCUCAUUUGGGUGCCUAUUUUCUGCUAGAAUACAAAGGGCUUUUUUAUUGCCAAAGUUCUGUGAACACUUGUAAAGACUGGCCUGGUGGAGGACUCUUGCCCAUGAUGAAUCACUUUGGCAUUGCCUUUCUCCAUUCCUCCUCAAAACAAAAAACCUAAUGAAGGAAAAAAUGUUUUGCUAUAAUUGGAAAGUAAAAGGAACUGUUGUGUCUCCUGUGAGCUGGACACUUAUAUGUGAUUGCUUUGUGCCCUAAAACCCAUCUUUUUAGAGCCAGUUCCUGAAUUACUUUAUUUUUAGCAAUAUAAGGACUAAAUUCUACUUGCAUGUGUAUUUCUCAUUGGUUGUAGACAUGCAUGCUUGUAUAGCAACAUAUACGUUGAGUGUAAAUGUAUAACUGUCUUGUUACUAGGUAAGCACAUUGUGUUUAAAACCUGAACUUGCAGCUGUGUUAUCCAUCUUUUACUGUUUCAGUUAAAGGUAUUAGUGUGUGAUUAUUCCCUUUUAUAGGCGAAGAGAAAGGCAUGCAAAGACAAUAGACAUAGCCCAAGAAGAAGUUCUGACCUGCUUGGGAAUUCAUCUUUAUGAAAGACUGCAUCGAAUCUGGCAAAAACUACGGGCAGAAGAGCAGACAUGGCAGAUGCUUUUCUAUCUUGGUGUUGAUGCUUUACGCAAGAGUUUUGAGAUGACCGUGGAAAAAGUACAGGGUAUUAGCAGAUUGGAACAACUUUGUGAGGAAUUUUCAGAAGAGGAACGAGUAAGAGAACUCAAGCAAGAAAAGAAACGCCAAAAACGGAAGAAUAGACGAAAAAAUAAGUGUGUGUGUGAUAUUCCUACUCCCUUACAAACAGCAGAUGAAAAGGAAGUAAGCCAAGAGAAGGUAAUAUUUCUUAAUAUCAACUCUUAAGUGUGUAUGUAUUGCUUGUAGAUAGAAGUACAGGCCAGGUGUGGUGGCUCACGCCUGUAAUCCCAGCACUUUGGGAGGCCCAGGGUGGAGGGAUCACUUGAGCCUAGGAGUUCGGGACCAGCCUGGGCAAGAUAGUGAGAUCUCUAUCUCUAUUUAUUUUAUUAUUUUUUUUUUAAUAAAAAAAGUACAGUCGUCCCUUGGUAUCUGUGGGGUUUGAUUCCAGGACUUCCUGUAGAUACCAAAAUCUGCAGAUGUGCAAGUCCCUGAUGUAAAAUGGUGUAAUAUUUGCAUAUAGUCUAUGCACAUCCUUCUUAUACUUUUAUUUCUGAGACAGGGUCUCACUCUGUCACCCAGAUUGGAGUGCAGUGGCACAAUCAUGGCUCACUGCAGCGUUCAUCUCCCAGGCUCAUGUCAUCUUCCCACCUCAGCUUCCCAAGUAGCUGGAACUACAGGCGUACCCCACCAGGCCCAGCUAAUUUUUUGUAUUUUUUGUAGAGAUGGCGUUUCACCAUGUUGUUCAGGCUGGUCUCCAGCUUGUGGGCUCAGGCAGUUCUCCCACCUCAGCCUCCCAAAAUACUACAAUUACAGGCAUGAACCACCGUGCCUGGCCUCUUGUAUUCUUAAAUUAUCUCUAAAUUAUAAUACCUAAUGCAAUGUAAAAGCUAUGUAAGGCUGGGCAUGGUGGCUCACGCCUGUAAUCCCAGCUACUUGGGAGGCUGAGACAUGAGAAUUUCUUGAACCCAGGAGGCAAGGAUUGCAAUGAGCCGAGAUCGUGCCACUGCAGUCCAGCCUGGGCGACAGAGUGAAACUCUCUCAAAAUAAAUAAAAACUGUUUAAAUAGUUGUUAUACUGUAUUGUUUAGAAAAUAAGGACAAGAAAAAAGUCUGUACAUGUUCAGUAUGGAUGCAG
rnacentral:sRNA from 1 species